rnacentral:rRNA from 1 species
GAUGAACGCUAGCGGCAGGCUUAAUACAUGCAAGUCGAACGGUAAGUGUUAUAGCAAUAUAGCACGAGAGUGACGUACGGGUGCGUAACACGUAUGCAACCUACCUUGUACAGGAGGAUAGCUCGGGGAAACUCGAAUUAACCCUCCAUAAGAUCAUAGAAUGGCAUCAUUUAGUGAUAAAACUUAGGUGGUACAAGAUGGGCAUGCGUCUGANAGUUAGUUGGUGGGGUAAUGGCUCACCAAGACGAUGAUCAGUAGGGGACCUGAGAGGGUGAUCCCCCANACUGGCACUGAGAGUACGGGCCAGACUCCUACGGGAGGCAGCAGUAGGGAAUAUUGGUCAAUGGAUGGAAGUCUGAACCAGCCAUGCCGCGUG